UCUUUCAGAUUCACUACUCAGAAAUUCCAGGAUACUUUCAAAUAGAAUAAAAAAACUUUUGAAGAAAUGAACUAAAUCUAAAAGAAAGCUUCAGAAAGGGUCAGCAAAAGAAACUGCUGUUUUCCAGAUGGAGUACACAAUCUAUUCCCAAGCUAUACUUCUCCCAAAUAUAAUCUCCAAAGACUCUCAGUUUUUACAUUUGCAAGCAUCAAGGACAUCCAGGUCAUGGGAGUGAUGUAUUGUGAAUUUGGAAAUGUAAAUCCAAGAAUCCGCGCAUUCAAAGAUAACUACUGGAUUAGCUCGACCUGAUUCCAUCUUUUCCAAUGAAGUGUGAGACCAUCCUUAUGUUGUUUUUGAGGUUUUCCUUUGGUAAAUCUGCCUAAAUUUAUUAGUUAUAAACUUUUGAAUAUUUAAAUAAAUGUUUAAAAGGUGGUUGUAAGUUCUUGUACAUGUAAUUGCUGACCUCAUCAGAUGAGAGUUGAGAGAAUGAUAACGACUCAGUGAAUUUUUUAAUAGCUGAGGAAGUUAAGGUUUCCUUAGGUCAUGGCAGCUAUUCCUUCAAAUAAUUGUCCAAACUUUAUUUGUUCUUGUAUUUUUUGCUACUGAUACAGGAUGAUAAAGAUGAUCGAAUUUCUGAAUGAUGAACAGUACCAUGUGUAGCUACUUGAUUACAUUUCCUGUAAAAUAGGCACUUUGAUUUCUAGAUAAAAAGCUUAGUCAUAAAUAAACCAACUUGAAAGUACAGUUUAGGAGGCUAACUGUUGUUGUUUGUUUUGUUUCAUUUUGUUUUCUAGUUGUUAAUGCAGUUACCAUUUGGCAGAGGGAGCGUUAUGGUCAUCUAAAAAUAUAUAGAGACAAUAGUAAACAUAUCCAUACACACUUGAAGGAGGUUAUUGCACAAAGUCCAUUUGUAAAUAUCAAAUAGACAUUGAAGCUUUUGUUCUUACUUAUGCCUACUUUAUGACAGGAUUAUACAUUUGGCAGAUGGGACAUAUACCAGAGACAUCCUAAGAACUUUUGAGUGAAAUGAU